AUAUAUAUAUCAAACUUCUCUUUGUUGAGUGGUUUGGAUGUGGGGGUUUGCUGGCUUUGUUCAGCUCUCCUAAAAUGCAUUAGCAGAACAAACCUUGUUCAUUGGUGUGAUAACUAUCUACGCUAUUGAAUGUGAGGGGCAGUUCAGCUUUCUAACAGUCUUUGGACAAUUCAUCAUUA
rnacentral:misc_RNA from 1 species